rnacentral:rRNA from 1 species
UACGUAGGGGGCAAGCGUUGUCCGGAAUCAUUGGGCGUAAAGAGCGUGUAGGCGGCUCGAUAAGUCUGCUGUGAAAGUCCAGGGCUCAACCCUGGAAGGCCGGUGGAAACUGUCGGGCUAGAGUCCGGAAGAGGCGAGUGGAAUUCCCGGUGUAGCGGUGAAAUGCGCAGAUAUCGGGAGGAACACCAAUAGCGAAGGCAGCUCGCUGGGACGGUACUGACGCUGAGGCGCGAAAGCGUGGGGAGCGAACAGG